rnacentral:rRNA from 1 species
UAACCUGCCGUAUACCGGGGGAUAACACUUGGAAAUAGGUGCUAAUACCGCAUAAGCGCACGGCUCCGCAUGGGGCAGUGUGAAAAACUCCGGUGGUAUACGAUGGAUCCGCGUCUGAUUAGCUAGUUGGCGGGGUAACGGCCCACCAAGGCAGCGAUCAGUAGCCGGCCUGAGAGGGUGGACGGCCACAUUGGGACUGAGACACGGCCCAAACUCCUACGGGAGGCAGCAGUGGGGAAUAUUGCACAAUGGGGGAAACCCUGAUGCAGCGACGCCGCGUGAGUGAAGAAGUAUCUCGGUACGUAAAGCUCUAUCAGCAGGGAAGAAAAUGACGGUACCUGACUAAGAAGCCCCGGCUAACUACGUGCCAGCAGCCGCGGUAAUACGUAGGGGGCAAGCGUUAUCCGGAUUUACUGGGUGUAAAGGGAGCGUAGACGGCAGCACAAGUCUGGAGUGAAAUCCCGGGGCUUAACCCCGGAACUGCUUUGGAAACUGUGCGGCUGGAGUGCAGGAAGGGUAAGCGGAAUUCCUAGUGUAGCGGUGAAAUGCGUAGAUAUUAGGAGGAACACCGGUGGCGAAGGCGGCUUACUGGACUGUAACUGACGUUGAGGCUCGAAAGCGUGGGGAGCAAACAGGAUUAGAUACCCUGGUAGU